AACAGACUUGUGAUUUCGUUUUACCCAUUAAUCUCUGUGCUUGAUGGGUGCAGUAAAAUUACAAGACAAUAAAGAUCUUAGGAUAGCCCCAGCGUUCCUCCUAAAGAACAGCCAUGAAGAAAUACUUUUUCCCUCUGCAGGUGGGGGGGACGUGACAUCAGUUGUGCUGACCCUUCUGAAAUUGUGUUCAUGAAAAGUCGUGAGCCUUUAUCGAAAUACCCCUGACGAAAUCUCAGUGGGGAUCUGCAGAGUUGGCUGAAAGCGGACUCAAGCUAAAGGUAGCUGACACUUGGAAGAAUGCUGAGAGGAUGACCUGGAACAGAAUGGUCUCUGCCAAAUAUUUGGGCCUUGAUGCUUGAAAAAUUGUGGAAAUUCACCGAGCGACUAUUUUCUUAACAAAAGCUUGAGAUCUGUGUCUUUUAAGCAGCCAUGCUCUUGGGUACUUCUAAUUGUUAAACAGAUAUUGAUUUGAAUAAUCUUAGCUUUCUCCAACUGCAUUUGCAGUUUUGCUGUACUGUGGUUUAAUUAUGGCUUAAUUAAUAAAUGAUAUUAAGCAUUA